UACCGUUCAAAAUUGUCACAAAUAUUUUUUAUACUUGGAGAUUAAUCGCUGGUCGUUUCAUUUUGUUUCAAUUCUUGUAGGAACAUUGAUCGGAAUUAUUUCACCGGUCCCCUACCAGCAGUCGUCGGCAAUAUGUCUGCGUUGAUGAUAUUGUCAAUUGCCCAAAAUUCAUUCUCUGGACCUAUCCCCAAGGAGCUUGGAAACCUUAAGGACCUAACUA